rfam:Schistosoma haematobium scaffold769_33, whole genome shotgun sequence.
AUUCAGCUGACUAAUCCUAAAUAGGAUGAAACGUACGUUCUGGAU